GGCAGCCGGCGGCGCAUGCACACAGGCUCUGUUUGGCCGUUGCCGUGGCAACGAACCCCAGGCGGCGGAGAUGGGGCCGAGGCGGCUGCUGCUGCGCUACUUCCCGCCGGGUGCGGGGCUGGGGCUCGCGGGGCGCUGCUGUGGGGCGAGGGGUGGUUCUGUCAGCGUGGAGCGGGUGUGCGCGCGGGGAGGGGGCGGUUUCCCGCCGGGUGCUCUCUGCGCGGCACGCGCGGGGGUGACGCCGCGGGCGUGGGCGGUGCGGCUGCCCCGGCGCCUCACAGCCUUGGCCGCACGCAGAACGGUGCGAAAGUUCCUCCAAGUUAUCCUUUUCCCCGGGAAGCGGAGGGGCGGCAGAAUUCUGCGAGCGGCUGCCUCAGAGCAGGAGGCGGCGCGGUUGCGCCUCUCACAGGAGGAAUUAUUCUGGAAUAUGUGGAAGGUGGUGAGCUGAAGACCAGAUCUAUAGAUCUGCUUGAUCUUAGUCCUCACACAGAUGUCAUAGCCUUGGUAGAAGAAAUUCAAAAAGAAGAACCUCUCAUCACAGCUUCUUGCAAGGAACACGUCAUACGUUUAGUACAAAGAUUGCAAGAAAAGCUGGGGGAAAAAGAGGACCACAAAUUCUACCUUUUUAAGGUGCUUAGGGCACAUAUAUUGCCACUGACAAAUGUAGCAUUCAACAAAUCUGGUUCCUGCUUUAUCACAGGAAGCUAUGACAGAACCUGCAAAGUAUGGGAUACUGCAUCAGGAGAAGAGCUGCAUACUCUAGAGGGACACAAAAAUGUUGUUUAUGCAAUUGCUUUUAAUAAUCCCUACGGUGACAAGAUUGCCACUGGAUCUUUUGAUAAAACCUGCAAACUGUGGAGUACUGAAACAGGAAAAUGUUAUCAUACUUUCAGAGGACAUACUGCAGAAAUAGUAUGUUUAUCAUUUAAUCUUCAAAGCACAUUGGUGGCAACUGGAAGCAUGGAUACCACUGCCAAAUUAUGGGAUAUAGAGAAAGGAGAAGUAGCAUUUACUUUAAGAGGGCACUCAGCAGAAAUUGUUGCAUUGUCUUUUAACACCACCGGAGACAGGAUUAUCACUGGCUCCUUUGACUGCACAGUAGGAGUGUGGGAUGUUGUCACUGGCAGGAUGUUGCAUGUUUUAAUAGGCCAUCGAGGAGAAAUUAGCAGUGCACAGUUCAACUGGGACUGUUCUCUUAUUGUCACUGGAUCAAUGGACAAAACAUGCAUGCUGUGGAACGCUACGACUGGUGCACAUAUAGCGACUUUAACAGGUCACAGCGAUGAAAUAAUGGAUGUCUGCUUUGAUUAUGCUGGGCAGCGUAUUGCAACCGCCUCUGCUGAUGGAUCAGGAAGGGUCUACAAUGCAGAAACAAAAAAGUGCAUUGCAAAACUAGAAGGGCAUGGAGGUGAGAUUUCAAAGAUAUGUUUCAACCCUAAAGGCAAUCGUAUUCUAACAGCCAGCUCUGAUAAGACAGCGCGACUCUGGGAUGCUGCUACUGGACACUGCCUUCAGAUAUUAGAGGGCCACACUGAUGAGAUAUUCUCCUGUGCUUUCAAUUACAAAGGCAAUAUAAUCAUUACAGGAAGCAAGGAUAACACCUGUAGAGUAUGGCACUGACUGAAGACAAGGAGAGAUCCAGUGUGGUACUCUUACGGCUCCGCGUACUACGCUUCAGCCAAAAUGGAGACGAAGCAACUCAAGCCUGGACGAGACAUGAAUCAGAGCGAUCAGGAGACCCAACAUUUCACUCCAGAAAUUCUAAAGCUGAUGAGAAGCAGUUUUCGUUGAGUCAGCUGUCUGCAGAAGCUGUGUCUGUAUAGAGCAAACGUCCUUUGAUACUGGCACUGCCACCAGCCCAUCUGAAGGAGUUGGGGAAAGCAGAGAUGUUGAACUGCAUUGAGCCUUUAACGCAGUCCCUCCACUCCAUCCUGCAUCUCCUCUCUGGUACUGACAGCACCCAACCUGCCAAGGGAUCCAGCUUGGGGCCAGUUUGCCUUUGGCUGUUGAGAACACUGCACCAAACAAGAAUGGCAGCCCAGAGAGCUUCAGCCAGUGGUACCGGGUACCUCAUGCCAACGUAGGACGUUGAGGUAUGGAGAUGAAGCUCCUCUGUUACUAUGAAGUUCCAUAAGCCCACAGAAAGCUCAUGUUGGCAUCAGUCCUAUGAAAACUUCUCCAAUCGUAUUUAAUGGAGCAUGCAAAGGACGAGUACGGGAAUGGCUGUAUAAUGUGGGCCACUGUUUCCACUAAGGCAUGUGCACUUUAUAUACUCUCCAACACUUUGGAUACUGAAGUACUCCCAGAAAGCCAGGAGGAGUACAUGUUUUUCAGGAUCUUUUUAUGGUUAAGAGAUUUGUUCUUAGGGUUCCGUUCUUUGAGCAUUCCCCAUGAGAUCCUUGUAUUUCCCCUUUAGUUCUUCCUUUCAAAAGAAGAUGCCAAGUAAUAAAAAUGAACAAAGCCCAUGUUACUAAGAUAUUGAGUUCUUGAGACCAAAUAGCUCAACUGCACUUGCUUUCUGGCACAGCUUAACAACACCUGAAGUUAAGAGCAAAAGGGAAAGGAGCCAGCAACAGCGACAGCUGAAGAUGAUUACAAAUUGUUUUUGUAUUUCAAGAAGUGUUAGGCCUACGUUGCAGGAGAAAUAGGGAUAAAAAAAUAAAUUAAAAAGACGAAAACUAAACCAUUUCAGCUCUUCCUCCCACUGAGUGUUGCAAGGCCGGUAAAAUUAGGAAGAAAAAAAAAAAACAAAAAAAAAAACCCAAGCACAGUAAUCACAAAACAAACCACAAAGACAUGAGAGAGUCCCAGAAAUGGCAGCACUUAUUCCUUCUGCUAUCCUCCCCAUACUGCAAAUGCAUUCCCCCCAAGAAAAAGGGAGACCACAGAAAUAUCAACUGCCAUAUAAACACAACUAUACCCAUAUCUACAAAGUCUCCUAUAAAGGUACACAAUCAUUAGUGUUACAUCUCCUCCAUGUAUCACUAUGUGAAAUGAGUUCCAUGACUUAACAAAACCCUUAGAGAUUUUUUUCUAGCACGCAAAAUUUAUAGCAUCUUCAGGAAAACUUUUAUUCCAAAGCUGCCAAAGUAAUACACUGCAUGCACUGGGCUGCAGCCCUUACACUGCAGCAAUGAGAAGCAGAUUUUCAUAUUUCAACAUGAUAAAAAGCACUAAAUUUGUUACUAAAAGAAAACAUAGUUAAAUGGCUCUUUUGAUUGCUAAGUGAGUCUUUAGAUCAAUACACCUGAUUUAUUAUUCAUAUUUGUUUGAUCAAAUUCCAUACUGGGGGCAUAACAACCCAGGUUCUGUACAGACAGAAAAAAUACAACAUCACUGCCUCUAAGGUUUAAGGCACCAUAUUACCAUCUAACCAGAAAUUUCGCACUUAACAGUGCAACAUUAUGUUAGCAGACUAAACAAAAGGUUUUAAAAAAACAAACACAUCCCGUAGAGUAAGUAUAGGGCUAGAAGAUCAUGAUGCCAUACAGAAUUAAAUUAAUUUCAAAAGCCAUGGUUCACAGUGCCUCCAAUGUUCUGUUUUCACAAUGGAUUUAGUGUUGGCCUGCACCUUCAAUACAAUCACUUUCCAUUUGGCUCAGGUGGGUAACCUGUUUCCAACCAGUAUAGAAAGAGCCAAAAGCAAUCCUCAGCCCACAUAAGAAACCAGUGAAUUGGGUAGUGAUGCAGGGUGCCUGGCCCCAGAGAGCUUCAUCUCCUAGCAAUCUCUCCAGGCAACACAAGGCCCUUUACAGUAACUUGGCAUGGAAACCCUCCUCCUAGUCUAGCUAAUUUAAUCCCAGCAUCACCUGCAUACCUCUCCAAAAAAGCUGUGUUACCCCCAACCCACUCUCCUAGCAUAUAUUUCAGCUCUAAGAUGAUAAGCCUACACAGCAGCCAAAAAGCACCAUCCAGAAUAACCUGGAGAAAAAAAAAAAAAAAAAAAAAAAAAAAAAAAAAAAAAAAACAAGAUGGGAAGAGUUCUACAGUGCCAAGUUCAGCCAAGAUGAAAGGAAGACUAAGUCCUGGUUUGGAGAGACUGGAAGGGAACACUCCAAAGUGGAGGACUAUCUGAAAGAGAGAAGGGGAGAGGGGCAAAGGUAUUCUCUGCAGGCAGCUUGGUUAUCAUUACUUCAGUUUAGAUAUCUACUAUAGCAGCUUUCCUGCAGUAUAAUUCAGAAGGCUACAGGUCAGAGCAAUCACUGUUCACACCAGCUGUACAGACAGCAAACUCCUAAGAGCUCCCUUCAUACCCAUAGCUCAUCUCUCUUGGUAUUACAGAGGUCAUCACUCUUACAAAGGGCUGAAAACUCAUUUUCAUAGUUUCCACUGGCCCUGACGUUGAUUUUGCACAGAUUUAGUGACACUACCUAUAGUAAAUAGCCCUGCUGCUGCUCUGUUUGACAAACAACAACCUGGUGCAAGUUUUGGUGAUAUCUGGAAUAAAAGAAAAUACUUCUGAUGGAAAUA